rnacentral:piRNA from 1 species
UCCUUCAGUUUUCUCCUGAUAUCAAAGCA